UGAACAACUUUCACCACAUGUUUUAGUAUGACAGGAAAUGGUUUUUGGAACAAGAUAAGGUAGGCUUAGUUAAAUUGAAUUUGUUGACUGUCUCAUCCUCAGUUGUCAUAAUGUGAUGUAAGAAAAGGUUUUUGUGAACAACUUUCACCACAUGUUUUAGUAUGACAGGAAAUGGUUUUUGUGAACAACUUCCACCACAUGUUUUAGUAUGACAGGAAAGGUUUUUGUGAACAACUUCCACCACAUGUUUUAGUAUGACAGGAAAUGGUUUUUGGAACAAGAUAAG